rnacentral:lncRNA from 1 species
GAUGUUUACCUUGGUCACAGGGGGAUGGGCCAUUACCAUUGUGACGUCGGCGCCCAUGGGUACUCUCCCUUUUCAAAACAUUUUGAAAGACAAUGCAACCGUCCCAAUGGAAUAUUAUUGAAGCCCUGGUUGAAAAAGCCCCUAAAGAUUUAUGUUAUACAACAUUUGACAUGUUUGAACGAACUCAUUCCUGACGACAAGUCAGACGCACACGGUACAUUUUCACUAGCCUUCGGAGCGCGCUAACACUAUUGGGACAUAAAUUAUUAACUUUUUUGAACAAAACUACAUUUGUAAUGGACCUGGGAUUCCUAGAAGUGCCUUCUAAUAAAGAUAAUCAAAGGAGUGUCAUCUGAUGAAGAUUGUCAAAGACCAUCAAUGCCUACAUGUUCCAUCUGGUGCGGAAUUUUAACAGGCAGUCAACCGAGCAAGCUUUCUACAUUGACACCUUUGAAAUGACUGACAUUUGGG